CCCUUAGACGUUCUGGGCCGCACGCGCGCUACACUGACCAGUGCAACAAGCAUCCGUCCUUGGCCGACAGGCCCGGGCAAUCUUUGAACGUGCAUCGUGAUAGGGAUAGAUUAUUGCAAUUAUUAAUCUUGAACGAGGAAUUCCUAGUAAACGCAGAUCAUCAAUCUGCAUUGAUUACGUCCCUGCCCUUUGUACACACCGCCCGUCGCACCUACCGAUUGGAUGGUCCGGUGAAGCCUCGGGAUUGUGGCGGUUGCCUUUAUUGGUGGCCGCCGCGAGAACUUGUCUAAACCUUAUCAUCUAGAGGAAGGUGAAGUCGUAACA
rnacentral:rRNA from 1 species